CAGAAAUUGAAGCAAUUGAUAAUACCAUUUUUAUUGAAGAAAAUAACAAUUUUAUUAGAAUAAUUAAAAAUAAUGAUAAAUUAAGAGAUUUAUUAAAUAAACGCGAGGAGCUGCAUGAUGAUUAUAAAUGUUGUGCUCAAUGCAGAAAAGAUAGGCUAUUACUUGAGAGAAAAUGUAACGAAUUGCUUAUAGAAAUAAGAGAUAUCAAAUCUAUACUACUAAAUCAAUAUCGUGGUGGUUAUGCUGUUCAACACGUGGAAGAUAUUCACUUUGAUAAUUUACCUUAGUUUGCAUUCAAUAAUGUUCAUAAAUUCAUUGCCUUUAGCGAGUCAUUAAAAGAAGAUUUUGUUAAAAAAGAAUUUGAAAUCAAAUUAUCUUAUUUAAAAUGAAGUACGUUGCAAAAUACAGUGAACUGUAUUAUGUCAACUUUAAUCACCGAUGAAUUGGCUGAUGUUUUGACUUGGAGUAUUAAAAAAAAAAGCAAAGAGAAGAUUUGC